CCUACGUGUGGCAGCAGUGAGGAAUAUUGGUCACUGGGCGAGAGCCUGAACCAGCCAAGUCGCGUGAAGGAUGACGGCCCUACGGGUUGUAAACUUCUUUUGUCAGGGAGCAAUUGGGUCCACGCGUGGGCUUCGCGAGAGUACCUGCAGAAAAAGCAUCGGCUAACUCCGUGCCAGCAGCCGCGGUAAUACGGGGGAUGCGAGCGUUAUCCGAUUUUAUUGGUUUAAAGGGUGCGUAGGCGGAAGAUCAAGUCAGCGGUAAAAAUUCGGGGCUCAACCCCGUCGUGCCGUUGAAACUGAUGUUCUGGAGUGGGCGAGAAGUAUGCGGAAUGCGUGGUGUAGCGGUGAAAUGCAUAGAUAUCACGCAGAACUCCGAUUGCGAAGGCAGCAUACCGGCGCCCAACUGACGCUGAAGCACGAAAGCGUAGGUAUCGAACAGGAUUAGAUACCCUUGUAGUC
rnacentral:rRNA from 1 species